GUUCAUUCUGGGCAUUUUGGCUUUCUUGAAUCUCCAACUGAUUCCCACUCUCAUGACUGGUGAUAUCCUUUCCCAGUUAAUCGAGUAUUCUCCACUUGUGCUCUGUCAUCCAUGCCACUUUAAGGAGGAAGUCACACAAAAAGAAGUAUUAAGAAUUUCCCUUUGAGGCUCUGAAGGCUAAAGAGGACCUGAUAAAUUACAAGUCUGUCUGUGCCCCAUAGCUGCACAGAAGCUAUGAACAACUCACUACUUGGGACAACUCUUUCUGUUUCAAGACAAGAAGACUCAGAAUUUCAAGAUGUUGUAUCUGACUUUUCACCUGUCAACCAAGAGCAGCUGAAAAGGCGAGAGCCCUGGAGAACUGUUUUCCUACAUAUGUAUUUGUUUUUAGACAAAUGUGUUUGUUUGAACAU